AGUCGAGGGGCAGCAUUUCAGUUUGCUUGCAAACUGGAGAUGGCGACCGGCGCACGGGUGAGUAACACGCUAUCCAACCUGCCGAUAACUCGGGGAUAGCCUUUCGAAAGAAAGAUUAAUACCCGAUGGNAUAAUCAGACCGCAUGGUCUUAUUAUUAAAGAAUUUCGGUUAUCGAUGGGGAUGCGUUCCAUUAGGCAGUUGGUGAGGUAACGGCUCACCAAACCUUCGAUGGAUAGGGGUUCUGAGAGGAAGGUCCCCCACAUUGGAACUGAGACACGGUCCAAACUCNUACGGGAGGCAGCAGUGAGGAAUAUUGGUCAAUGGGCGCAGGCCUGAACCAGCCAAGUAGCGUGAAGGAUGACUGCCCUAUGGGUUGUAAACUUCUUUUAUAUGGGAAUAAAGUUUUCCACGUGUGGAAUUUUGUAUGUACCAUAUGAAUAAGGAUCGGCUAACUCCGUGCCAGCAGCCGCGGUAAUACGGAGGAUCCGAGCGUUAUCCGGAUUUAUUGGGUUUAAAGGGAGCGUAGGUGGACAGUUAAGUCAGUUGUGAAAGUUUGCGGCUCAACCGUAAAAUUGCAGUUGAUACUGGCUGUCUUGAGUACAGUAGAGGUGGGCGGAAUUCGUGGUGUAGCGGUGAAAUGCUUAGAUAUCACGAAGAACUCCGAUUGCGAAGGCAGCUCACUGGACUGCAACUGACACUGAUGCUCGAAAGUGUGGGUAUCAAACAGGAUUAGAUACCCUGGUAGUCCACACAGUAAACGAUGAAUACUCGCUGUUUGCGAUAUACAGUAAGCGGCCAAGCGAAAGCAUUAAGUAUUCCACCUGGGGAGUACGCCGGCAACGGUGAAACUCAAAGGAAUUGACGGGGGCCCGCACAAGCGGAAGAACAUGUGGUUUAAUUCGAUGAUACGCGAGGAACCUUACCCCGGGCUUAAAUUGCAUUUGAAAAAUUUUGGAAACAGGUUAGCCGCAAGGCAAAUGUGAAGGUGCUGCAUGGUUGUCGUCAGCUCGUGCCGUGAGGUGUCGGCUUAAGUGCCAUAACGAGCGCAACCCUUAUCUUUAGUUACUAACAGGUCAUGCUGAGGACUCUAGAGAGACUGCCGUCGUAAGAUGUGAGGAAGGUGGGGAUGACGUCAAAUCAGCACGGCCCUUACGUCCGGGGCUACACACGUGUUACAAUGGGGGGUACAGAAGGCAGCUACCUGGUGACAGGAUGCUAAUCCCAAAAGCCUCUCUCAGUUCGGAUCGAAGUCUGCAACCCGACUUCGUGAAGCUGGAUUCGCUAGUAAUCGCGCAUCAGCCAUGGCGCGGUGAAUACGUUCCCGGGCCUUGUACACACCGCCCGUCAAGCCAUGAAAGCCGGGGGUACCUGAAGUAACGUAACCGCAAGGAGCUCCUAGG
rnacentral:rRNA from 1 species